GAUGAACGCUGGCGGCGUGCCUAAUACAUGCAAGUCGAGCGAACGGACGAGAAGCUUGCUUUUCUGAUGUUAGCGGCGGACGGGUGAGUAACACGUGGAUAACCUACCUAUAAGACUGGGAUAACUUCGGGAAACCGGAGCUAAUACCGGAUAAUAUUUUGAACCGCAUGGUUCAAAAGUGAAAGACGGUCUUGCUGUCACUUAUAGAUGGAUCCGCGCUGCAUUAGCUAGUUGGUAAGGUAACGGCUUACCAAGGCAACGAUGCAUAGCCGACCUGAGAGGGUGAUCGGCCACACUGGAACUGAGACACGGUCCAGACUCCUACGGGAGGCAGCAGUAGGGAAUCUUCCGCAAUGGGCGAAAGCCUGACGGAGCAACGCCGCGUGGGUGAUGAAGGUCUUCGGAUCGUAAAACUCUGUUAUUAGGGAAGAACAUAUGUGUAAGUAACUGUGCACAUCUUGACGGUACCUAAUCAGAAAGCCACGGCUAACUACGUG
rnacentral:rRNA from 1 species